rnacentral:rRNA from 1 species
UACGUAUGGUGCAAGCGUUAUCCGGAUUUACUGGGUGUAAAGGGAGCGCAGGCGGCGCGUUAAGCCUGGUGUGAAAGCCCGCGGCCCAACCGCGGGACUGCAUUGGGAACUGGCGCGCUGGAGUGCCGGAGGGGUAGGCGGAAUUCCUAGUGUAGCGGUGAAAUGCGUAGAUAUUAGGAGGAACACCAGUGGCGAAGGCGGCCUACUGGACGGUGACUGACGCUGAGGCACGAAAGCGUGGGGAGCAAAUAGG